rnacentral:lncRNA from 1 species
GGGAGGGGAAUAAUCCAACCCUUCUAGAACAUGGUUAAAACAGAGGGUGAAGAGAAUUUGUAAUGGAACUGAAUGGGUCAAGCCAUCAUUUUUCAAAUAUGAGAUCCACAAUAUAAUACAUUUCUCGGAUAUUUUGUGCACCACGGUUUUCUGGACAAUUUGGACCGUGUUUGGUGUCAGUCUGGAUUUUUACUGAGAUUAGGUCAUGGCUGGAGCACUGACUUCUCCCCUUCCUAGGUAUGGGUUCCAUAUUACUGGGUUUUAGUCCCUUCCCCUCUGUAUUAAUUGUGGUGCUAUGAAGGCAGUUUGAGCCUGUUGGGAGUUGUCAUGACAACACAGCUGGAUUUCUGGACAGGUUAGUAAGGGAAAGGGAGAUUAGAUUAAUUUUCUCCCCCUCUUUCCCAAUAAAAGCUUAAUCAACCCUGCAAUGCCAAUUAUUGCAUACCUUCCAUAAUGAUAAUAACAAUAGACAUUUAUACAAGCUUUAAGAUGUACAAAACAUUUUACAUAGAUUGUCUCAUUUGAGUCUUUUGAAGUAGGUGCUACGUAUAUUCUUUCUAUUUCAUAGAUGAGAAAACUGACACUCCCAGAGGCUAGAUGACUUGUCCAUGGCCACUCAGAUAAGUAAAUAUGUUGUAGAUAAUUAGGUCAACUUCUUGUGAAGGACUGUGAAUCUCCUUCAGUUAACUUGGCCAUAUUCUGAGACCUCAUUCAAUUAGCAUCAUGUCAUCCACCAACAAAAGCAUUUGCAGGACCUCAUUGUCUACAGGAAGCAAAGCAAGUCUAAUCCUGCCUCCAUAUGACAACCCUCUGAUUGAUCAUUUGAACACACAUAUCCCCUAAGUCUCUUCUUCAGGCAAAACACCCAGUUCCUUUAACUAAACUUCAUCAUCAUAAACUUAAGGCUCUGGACACUCACCAGCUUAUCAUUGUCCUCCUUGAAUUGUGGUUUGAGAACUUAAUAUAAUAUUCUAGAUAAGAUCUGA